AUGCCGCGUGUGUGAAGAAGGCCUGAGGGUUGUAAAGCACUUUCAGUGGGGAGGAGGAUAGCAUGGUUAAGAGCUGAGCUAUUGGACGUUACCUACAGAAGAAGCACCGGCUAACUCCGUGCCAGCAGCCGCGGUAAUACGGAGGGUGCGAGCGUUAAUCGGAAUUACUGGGCGUAAAGGGUGCGUAGGUGGUUAAAUAAGUUAGAUGUAAAAACCCUGGGCUUAACCUAGGACUGAGAUUUAAUACUGUUUAACUAGAGUAUGGGAGAGGGUAGUGGAAUUUCCGGUGUAGCGGUGAAAUGCGUAGAGAUCGGAAGGAACACCAGUGGCGAAGGCGGCUACCUGGCCUAAUACUGACACUGAGGCACGAAAGCGUGGGGAGCAAACAGGAUUAGAUACCCUGGUAGUCCACGCUGUAAACGAGUCAACUAGCGUUG
rnacentral:rRNA from 1 species